UGCGCAUGUCCCCGCGCAGGGUCGGGCGCUGGGGUGUGGAGACUGAACCUUGCAGACACCCGGGUCCGCACGUCUGGGAUGGACGUGUUUUCGUCUGGUUGUUUUUGUUUUUCGUUUUUAGAGACAGUCUCGCUAUAUUACCCAGGCUGGAGUGCAGUGUCAAGAUCUCGACUCACUGCAGCCUUGAACUCCUGGGCUCAAGUGAUCCUCCCACAGUGCUGGGAUUACAGGCGUGAGCCACCGCACCCGGCCUCUAGUUCUGUCUUUUUGCUCAGUAUUAGAAUUCGUAAGUUCUGGCCCCAGCAACUCGUCCUUUCAUCUGUCUCAAGUUGCACUGUGGUGGUCACAGGAGCUGUCCUGCACCUUGCACAUGUGGCCAUGAACAAGACUCGCUCCUUGCUCUCAUGGGGCCUUCAUUCCAGUGAGACACAAAUGCAAACACAAAAUUCCAGAAGAGUGCUGAGUGCUAUCAUGAGAAACGAAGACAGGCUGGAAGAUGGGCUCUGACCCCAGAAAACCGAUGGAGAGGCCCAAGCAGCCUUGGGAGCAACAGGCAAGUUGGAGGACACACGGCAAGGCUACUUGGAAGUAGGGGAGGGUGCAUGGGAAACCCUGAGGCUGUGGGGGGAGAGGCAGGAGCCAGGUGAAGUCCAGGUAGAUGGCAGUGGAGAUGUAAGAACAUGGUGGAAUUUUUUUGUUUUUGAGACGGAGUCUUGCUCUGUCCCCCAGGGUGGAGUGCAAUGGUGAGAUCUCAACUCACUGCAACUUCCGCCUCCCAGGUUCAAGCGAUUCUCUGGGAUUAUAGGCACCUGCCACCAUGCCCAGCUAAUUUUUGUAUUUUUUAGUAGAGAUGGGUUUUCACCAUGUUGGUCAGGCUAGUCUCGAACUCCUGACCGCGGGUGAUCCGCCCGCCUCAGCUUCCCAAAGUGCUGGGAUUACAGGCGUGAGCCACCGCGCCUGGCCAGAACAUGGUGGAAUUUGAGUGUGCUUGGGAAUACACUUAUAGGACUUGCUGAUUAGUUGAAUGAGGAAAUAAAAGAACGAAGAAUAUCUUCUGGGAUUUCAGCCUGAGCAACUGGGUUGCUGGUGGAUGGUGGUUCUCUUAUCAAGGAUGGGAAAGAUGGGUUGUCUCCCCUAAAAUACUGAGUUUUAAAGGCAGGGACUGUAUCUUUGCAGUCCUGGCUCCUAGCAAGGGCCUAGCCCUUAUAUGACAUUCGUGAAUGUUGAAAUGAAUGUGACACGCCUGAAACAAUCCUUCUCCCUCACCUAGGCCCACAUCUCCAAGUCAAUAUUCCAGUACAAGCCACAUCCAGUCCCCUCACUGACACACACAGGCCUGGGCCCAGGAGCUCACCCCUGUGCUGUAAGGCUAGGUGCAUGUGUUAUUUCCAGAGUCUACCCUUGGAGGUGCCUCAGACUCCUGGGUACCUGUCGCUGGGAGGUAGCCAGUCAUGCUGUCCACAUACAUGCUUUUGGGCAGUAGAGAAGCUGAUCAUUGGGAAGGUUUAUUUCCUGUCUCCACAACAGGAGGCAGGUCACAGCAGUGGCCACACAGUGCACAAAAGGCCAUCCCCUCACAGCCGCAUGGUUGGCAUGCAGC
rnacentral:lncRNA from 10 species